rnacentral:misc_RNA from 1 species
AACCAUAGAAACCUGCGGAGUACCUGCGGAGGGAUCAUUACAGAGUUGCAAAACUCCCUAAACCAUUGUGAACGUUACCUAAACCGUUGCUUCGGCGGGCGGCCCGGGUCCUUCCCGGCGCCCAUCGGCCCUCGCGGGCGCCCGCCGGAGGUAAACCAAACUAUUGCAUUGUAUGGCCUCUCUGAGUCCUCUGUACUGAAUAAGUCAAAACUUUUAACAACGGAUCUCAGAUCGGAAGAG